rnacentral:snoRNA from 1 species
CUGGCGGAUAGGAACCAGUUAAUACCUGUGUGUUACAUGGGCCGAAAACCGCCGAAAGUGACUGUUCACUCCAAAGGUCGUAUGUGCGUCCUCUUGAGGCAUGUAUAUCACCAUUGUGAACGACAAUC